rnacentral:sRNA from 1 species
ACCCUGGCACAAAUGGCUGAGGAGCUUGGUGGUGUCCAUUGGCCCCCAUGGGCUCAUAAGGACUUGUGCUAUUAGGAGGUGUGGCCUUGUGGAGGAAGUGUGUCACUAGAGGACGGGCUGAGAUCUCUGACACUCAACCAGGAUCACAUUCCUUUCCUGAUGCCUGGGGAUCCAGAUGUAAAACAUAAGCAUCUCUCUACUCUGCCCUUCUGGGGCACCCAGCAUGUGGGCAUCUCCCCACGACCAUGCCCUUCAGGCUCUACCACAAGGGCGGUUCUACUUGAACUUCAGCUGUUUUCUCCUCUACCUGCUGUGACACUUGUCUCUUCCCUUCUAUUGGCUCCCUCCUGGAAGUCCUGCCGCUUCUCUAUGUCCUUGUGGCUUCUACAAUUGGAAGGUCCCUCGGGUGGAGUUCCUUCUUCUACGGCUACACUGGUCUCUGUCUGAGAGCUGCUGAAUCCGUGAAGCGGAAACUUCUAAAUUCUUUGGAAACAUCGUCGAGCUCAACUCAUGAUGACGCCACCAUUGAGAGAAGCUCACCCAAGAAAUGCUCUCAAGGUUCCUGCCUGGUAGUUUCUUCAGCAUUAAACUUGAGCUGCCUGGUGUCUGCCUGCCUAGAGGACUGGUCUGCAUCUGCUGACUCCUAUUUGGUGUUUGCUACAGGACUGAGCUGCUGCCCAAGAAGAUCGAUUUCACCCCCCAAAAAUAUUCCUGUACAAGUCCCCCUUCCCUCCUUUCCUAGUAACUUUUCUCCUCCACUGCCUCUGCUGGGUGAUGGGCUAGAGGAGAGGGCGAACCCUUAUUAAAAGUAAGUUGCAAAAAAAUGUAUGCCCACAAACCUUCCCUGUCCUCCUUUUCUCCUUAGACUCUGGUGAAAGGACAAUGUAAACCCCAUUUGUCACUAUUUAAGUAUCAGGCCUGAUUUUGAAAAGAAGGCCAUAAGGCAUCCCCUCCAGGAACAGACCAUAAAAAUCCAAAAACAAGGUCAUAAAACACCUCCCAAAGAACAGCCUGGGGAUAACCACAAGAUGGGAAAAUAUCUUAUCCCAGGACGGGCCAUCUGUGCUGGGCAGUCCUAUGUCAUCCUGUGGUUAAAUGUUCAUGACAUCGGAAUGCAGACCACUGACCACCUGGCACAAGUCAAUCGGAAGCUGACCCCUGUGACCUCCCCAGUGCCCACCAGUGAAAUUUUAGAUGAGCUAACCCACUCUCUAAAUAUACAAGAACUAACGUUGUAGCCAAUCAAAGUUAUACUAAUGUCACUGAUUUGGCUCCUGCCAAUCACAUUAGAGAUUACCCAAUCCUCUUAGAGAGUUCCCCUGGUUCCUUAUAAGAAGGUCUGCAUGCCUUUAUCUGGGGUCUCCAUUUUGGAAAAUGGUUGACCCUCACAUGCUGGUUGUUUCUGCGGAAUAAAUGCUCUUUGUCUUUGCAUCUGGGGUCCUCCUUCAGUGAUUCUCGGACUGUGACACUGGGACUCAGAUUUUCCUAAAGCCUCACUGUCUUGCUAUAGUGGCUUGGCCCCUGUCCGUAUAGCUCGAUGGCCAGAGGUGGCACACUCAAGCUCCAUGUAAUUACAGAUCACGACAACUUGUGCCACUGCACAGGCAGAUGAUUCCUAAGUCUCUUCCUAUUCUUAAAUCCUUUCUCUCUAUGACUUCUCUGUGCUCCGCGCUGGAGAAAUCUUCUGUCAUAUAAGUAGUCUUUAUCUCAGGGCUUCUUAAUUCACUUGGUGUGGUUAAAGAAUUUGUAAAAAUCUGUAACGAAAUUUGGCUCAAAACACAAAAGCCUUAUAGUUAAAACCUAUGCAUGGGUGAUUUUAAUUUGCUCUAACGUGCCAUAUAUGUGAUUCAACUCUGACUUAGUGUAUACUGUAGAUGUAACUUUAAUUCUACUCUUCUUUGAAAUUUCGGUCUAAUAGUAAAACAUGUUUUAAACAGCAACCUGUGGCUCUCCUCCGUCUUGGUAACGUCCUCGUCAGGAUGGAAGCAACCGUGGGACUGGCAGCCAUCUUUACUGAGGUGAAAGAGUACAUGCCAAUGAGACUUCGCUACCUCAAGAUGACCAUGUCAAAGUAUUAUUACGGGGGCAAGGAUUCUACCCCACCCUAGACCAAAUAACUCCCAAAUACAUGACUCAGGAACCUGAUGUUUUAUUUGCAAGCUCUUGGCUCUGUGCCCGGCAGGUUCUGAGAGUUUCUAACCUGCAUCCCAGCCAUAAGCCCCGUGUUACUUGUCUGAGUCUCGCCUGGGUAGAUCUGCUGCAUGUGAGUCCUCAGGGUGGGCUUUUCUUGGCCACACGCUCAGGUCUCAGGAAGACCCUCUUCUUCCUCUUUCUUUUCCCUUCUCCUCAUGGUCUCUACCUGAGACCCCCCUACUCCAUCUCAAGUCCUACCUUCUUUUCUUUCCUGCCCAGUCGCACGCAGGCUCUAGUCUUUUAUUACCCAAUCAGAGAUCAUCAGGGAGCAUUCUUUAUAAUGCAUUGAUCAAAACAAUGCCCACGUCCCGACUACUACCCGAUCCUUGGGCAUAGACUUGGCAUCUGAAUGUAGACUGCACAAAACCAACCCAAACAUGACCAUGUGGCAUAAAGCAACAAUUAGAAAACUUCUCAGUCCUGCUGAGUCAUUCAUUUAUCGUUGUAUCUCUUUUAGGCUAAGGAAACAACAGUAAAUCUCCAAAUUAUUUGGAAUUGGUAUGGAUCUUUGUAAGAGGAUAAAAAUUUAGGGUUAUAAAAGUCUACUUAGAUUAACAAAAGCUGACUUAGGAAGUAUGUCUAACUACUUCUGUCUCUGCUAACUGUUCAAUACCAGGCUUCUAGAAAAUUCAGAUAAGUUACAGCAUAUGUUUGAUAGAUAAGACUUAUAAAUUCCUAAGGUCCACUCAGGUCCACAGUAAUAUUUUUCUAACAUCUUCGUCAUUGCUGGAUUUGUUAAGCUUUAUAUGUUUGGAUACACUAAGUUAUUUUAAAAACCAUGAUAUUCUAUGAUGAUACGCUAGGAUAGUUUUUAUUUUGAUGCAAAAGAGUUUCAAAGAUUGCUACUUUUUAAGAUGAAACAAAACAAGGAUAGAAUCUAAUCUUAUAAAAGGCUACUACCUUAUUGUAAACUGUUAAAGGUAAUUACAACAAGUUAACAAUUGAUCCAAUUCUUUAAUGUAUUUACAACCAUACAUGUAGUCAUGUAAUUAAUUAAUUAAUUACAAGAGUAAGCUUUGUUUAGUCUCCUGUGUAUGUUUUUAAAGCUAAGCCUAAAACAAGUAAUUAUCGGUUUGUUUAGUUUAGAUAUAUGUAACAGAUAAGGGUCUCAAAACUUUUCAGAGAUCUGUGGAACAGAGCAUUUAAGAUGAUAAAGGAAGGGGGAGCAGGAAAAGAUAGAAAAGACAUACAUGCCAGCUCCUGGCAGCACCCCUAAUCUUCUCCAAAGGAGAUGGCGGGGCAUGGAAGAAUUCCACCUUGAACUACCUUUAACAGCAAAGCUGGCCAUUGGGUGAAGAACAGCCCUCACCUUGCCCACUGCCAGGACCCUGGCAAACUGUGGACAAGGACACUGGGGGUUGAUGGCCCCUCUGCCCAGACAAGUAGACAGAUCCCCCAAGUUCCUCCUCCCAGGAAUGUCUGUUGGAUCUUCGGAGCCUGGCAGCUGAAGACUGAACCUGCCCUCGGCCCUCAGUGAAAUCCAAAUUCCCACAGAGGAGCCUAGGGUGAUCCUGCAGGCGGCCAGCAAGUCUCUAUCACUUCCUUAGCCCUUGAAGGUCUUGCAGGGCCUGUACAGCAGGUAAAACAGCCUCCUCUUUUCGGACUUGGCCAGUAUUCCAGUUUUUGGGCCCCCUACAAUGCCACAUUGUCAGCCGGAAGUAGUCAUGGGGAUGUUGGAAUCAUUUAUGGACAAUCAACAAAAGGUUUGGAUGUUAAAUCUCAAACCCUGAGACAAAAGCCUCAGGUGCAUAUUUAACAAAUCAAAGCAGCCCUGGCCGCCCCGGCCGCCCUGGCCGCCUGGUUCUCCCAUCCCUCAGUCCCUAUCUGUUACAGGGUAUGGCUGGCACACCCUAUCCUGUCCCCUACCCUAA